rnacentral:rRNA from 1 species
AACGAACGCUGGCGGCAGGCCUAACACAUGCAAGUCGAGCGCCCAGCAAUGGGAACGGCGCACGGGUGAGUAACACGUGGGAACGUGCCCUUUGGUUCGGAAUAACGCAGGGAAACUUGCGCUAAUACCGGAUAAGCCCUACGGGGAAAGAUUAUCGCCAUUGGAGCGGCCCGCGUCUGAUUAGCUAGUUGGUGAGGUAACGGCCCACCAAGGCAACGAUCAGUAGCUGGUUUGAGAGAACGACCAGCCACACUGGGACUGAGACACGGCCCAGACUCCUACGGGAGGCAGCAGUGGGGAAGUCUUGGACAAUGGGGGAAACCCGUGAUCCAGCCAUGCCGCGUGAGUGAUGAAGGCCCUAGGGUUGUUAAAACUCUUUCGGUCGGGGACGAUAAUGACGGUACCCGCAGAAGAAGCU